UAGGGAAUCUUCCGCUAUGGGCGAAAGCCUGACGGAGCAACGCCGCGUGAGUGAUGAAGGUUUUCGGAUCGUAACACUCUGUUAUUAGGGAAGAACAAAUGUGUAAGUAACUAUGCACGUCUUGACGGUACCUAAUCAGAAAGCCACGGCUAACUACGUGCCAGCAGCCGCGGUAAUACGUAGGUGGCAAGCGUUAUCCGGAAUUAUUGGGCGUAAAGCGCGCGCAGGCGGUUUUUUAAGUCUGAUGUGCAAGCCCACGGCUCAACCGUGGAGAGUCAUGGGACACUGGAAAACUUGAGUGCAGAAGAGGAAAGUGGAAUUCCAUGUGUAGCGGUGAAAAACGCAGAGAUAUGGGGGAAAACAAGUGGCGAAAGCGACUUUCAGUUCUGUAACUGACGCUGAUGUGCGAAAGCGUGAGGAUCAAGCAGG
rnacentral:rRNA from 1 species